AGUGAAUAGAUACCCGGGUAGUCCUAGCCGUAAACGAUACUCGCUAGGUGUCGGCCACGGUGCGACCGUUGUCGGUGCCGUAGGGAGGCCGUGAAGCGAGCCACCUGGGAAGUACGGCCGCAAGGCUGAAACUUAAAGGAAUUGGCGGGGGAGCACCACAACGGGUGGAGCUUGCGGUUUAAUUGGAUUCAACGCCGGAAAUCUUACCGGGACCGACAGCAAUAUGAAGGCCAGGCUGAAGACUUUGCCGGAUUAGCUGAGAGGUGGUGCAUGGCCGUCGUCAGUUCGUACUGUGAAAGCAUCCUGUUAAGUCAGGCAACGAGCGAGACCCACGCCCACAGUUGCCAGCGUACUCUCCGGAGUGACGGGUACACUGUGGGGACCGCCGCUGCUAAAGCGGAGGAAGGAAUGGGCAACGGUAGGUCAGUAUGCCCCGAAUAUCCCGGGCUACACGCGAGCUACAAUGGUUGGUACAAUGGGUAUCUACCCCGAAAGGGGAUGGAAAUCUCCUAAAGCCAAUCUUAGUUCGGAUUGAGGGCUGCAACUCGCCC
rnacentral:rRNA from 1 species